UACGAAGGGUGCAAGCGUUACUCGGAAUCAUUGGGCGUAAAGCGCGUGUAGGCGGUUCGGUAAGUCCGCUGUGAAAGUCGGGGGCUCAACCCUCGGAUGCCGGUGGAUACUGUCGGGCUUGAGUACGGAAGAGGCGAGUGGAAUUCCUGGUGUAGCGGUGAAAUGCGCAGAUAUCAGGAGGAACACCAAUUGCGAAGGCAGCUCGCUGGGACGUUACUGACGCUGAGACGCGAAAGCGUGGGGAGCAAACAGG
rnacentral:rRNA from 1 species